rnacentral:rRNA from 1 species
UACGUAGGAUGCGAGCGUUAUCCAGAUUUAUUGGGUUUAAAGGGUGCGUAGGCGGUCCGUUAAGUCAGCGGUAAAAUUGCGGGGCUCAACCCCGUCGAGCCGUUGAAACUGUCAGACUUGAGUUGGCGAGAAGUACGCGGAAUGCGCGGUGUAGCGGUGAAAUGCAUAGAUAUCGCGCAGAACUCCGAUUGCGAAGGCAGCGUACCGGCGCCACACUGACGCUGAGGCACGAAAGCGUGGGGAUCGAACAGG